GAUGAACGCUGGCGGCGUGCCUAAUACAUGCAAGUCGAGCGAACAGACUUGGAGCUUGCUCCUCUGUCGUUAGCUUCGGACGUGUGAGUAACACGUGGAUAACCUACCUAUAAGACUUGGAUCAUUUCGGGAAACCGCAGCUAAUACCGGCUACCAUUUUCAACCGCAUGGUUCAACAGUCAAAGACGGUCUUGCUGUCACUUAUUGAUGGAUCCUCGCCGCAUUAGCUAGUUGGUAAGGUAACGGCUUACCACGGCAACUAUGCGUAGCCAAUCUGAGAAGGUGAUCGGGCACACUGGAACUGAGACACGGUCCAGACUCCUAAGGGAGGCAGCAGUAGGGAAUCUUCCGCAAGGGGCGAAAGCCUGACGGAGCAAAGCCGAGUGAGUGAUGAAGGUCUUAGGAUCGUAAAACUCUGUUAUUAGGGAAGAACAAAUGUGUAAGUAACAAUGCACGACUUGACGGUACCUAAUCAGAAAGCCACGGCUAACUACGUG
rnacentral:rRNA from 1 species